GAUUUUCCCUUCGGGGACGNNCAAUGACAGGUGGUGCAUGGNUUGUCGUCAGCUCGUGUCGUGAGAUGUUGGGUUAAGUCCCGCAACGAGCGCAACCCUUGUURUNCAGUUGCCAGCAUUAAGUUGGGCACUCUGGKYGAGACUGCCGGUGACAAACCGGAGGAAGGUGGGGACGACGUCAAAUCAUCAUGCCCCUUAUGACCUGGGCUACACACGUGCUACAAUGGACGGUACAACGAGUCGCRAACUCGCGAGGGCAAGCUAAUCUCUUANAAGCCG
rnacentral:rRNA from 1 species